UUGUCAGCUGCUUUUGUCUGUAAGUAUUUCUUUCUUUUUAUUAAACUUCUACCUUCAUUAAUUAUAUGUAUAUAAUCCUUACACACUUAGGAUUUGUAUGUAUAUAUGCAGGCACCAAAUGAGAGAGCUCAGGAUCAGAAAUGACAAUAGUAUUGGGUUGGUUGACCCUUAUAUUGUUUUCAAGGCUCCACAGGCAGUGUGGACAGCAUCUCAUGA
rnacentral:lncRNA from 1 species